rnacentral:rRNA from 1 species
CAGAGGUGGCAAGCGUUGUUCGGAAUUACUGGGCGUAAAGGGCGCGUAGGCGGCCAUCUAAGUCAGACGUGAAAUCCCCCGGCUCAACCUGGGAACUGCGUCUGAUACUGGAAGGCUAGAGUUUGGGAGAGGGAUGUAGAAUUUCCAGGUGUAGCGGUGAAAUGCGUAGAUAUCUGGAGGAAUACCGGUGGCGAAGGCGGCAUCCUGGACCAAUACUGACGCUGAAGGCGCGAAAAGCUAGGGGAGCAAACGGGAUU